AGAUAUUUAAAUUGUAUUGUAAAAUCGAAUUUGUAAGAUUGAAAUUUAGUUUAAGGAAAUACUAAAUUAAAUACUGAAAAAUAUGAGUUACAAUUUAAAAUUCAAAUAUCAUCAAUAAGUUGGAGUGUAUAAAAUUAAAAAGCAGUUUAUUAUGAUGAAAGAGAUAGUUAAAAUGUAUAGUAAAAUUGAAUGUGUAUGAUUGAAAUUUUAUUUAAUUCAAAAAUUACUAAAUUAAAUAUUAGAAAAAGUGUGUGGAUCACUAUUUACUAUUCAAAUUUUAAAUAUUAUCGAUAAAUAUUUGAAUAAAUUUAUAUCUUUUACCCGCCUAUUUAGGCGGGCCUUAUCUAGUAUAUAUAUAUAUGAGAACUCUUAGUACAAAACCUAAUAACAUGGGCAUAGAUGGACUUCUCUAAUAAUCAUUUCUUGGGCUUCUAUGUUUGCUCUAAUACUUCCCCGCAAACUUAGCAGCGGGUGUGAAAACGACGUUGUUAAGUUUGUCUUAGAUGAUCGAAGAGCUUGAUUUUCAGUGCAUGAUCUAAUGAAGGCACAUAAUCUAUGUGUGCUCUUAUCUUCUCGAAUCAGUCUCAAUUUUGAACCCAGCAAAUAUGAAGGAUUAUUAGCAGCAAUAUGAGACCAAGAAACAUGCACUUCACAAGAUUCACUUCAUGUCUUGAAAGGAUCUAGAUUUUGUAUCUUCAGAGGUAGCAAUAAAAGUUUCUGGCUAAUUCGGAUGGCUUGACUUGGGUGAGACAACAUAUGUAGCAAGAUACAAAAUCAAGAUCACUUGGAUGUAGAUAGCAGCAUCUCUUCACCACAAAAUCAGACAUUAGUGUGAGAACUUUUAAGGUUCUUUUGACCUAUUUGUCUCACGAAGAGUCCGUGUUUUCUUUACCUCGUUUAACUCCCCUAAGCUGUCCCAUGUAAAAGAAGAAUUCUCUUCCCACAACUACUUAGAUCCUACUUGCUAUCUGCUAAAUAUGACAAGAAUAGAUUGAUGCUCAUUGAGCUUAUUAGAAGAGAAAUUGAAUAGCUCAUGAAGAGCUUUAUUGUGCAAAGAAUCUAAAGAGAGAGAGAAGCUUUAAGAUUGUCUACAAAAACAAAAAAAAAUUCGAUUGUGAUUCGUAUAAAUGUUUGAGGGUGAUUGCUCAAAGAGGUAGCCUUGGUUACAUUAAUCCAUAACAUACAUUACAUAUAUAUAUGAGAACUCCUAGUACAAAACCUAAUAACAUGGGCUUAGAUGGCCUUUAACCCUUUCUCUAAUCAUCUUUCAAGCUUUUUGAAACUCCUAACUAGUCAACAAGAUAAUCAAACCAUUCCACCAAUUUAGUAUGAACGUUUUUCACCUACCAUAGAACUUGUAUCAUCUUACGUCCAUGUUUUAUGUUUGUUCUUAAUGUUGGUUUCUUGUGUUUAUUUGCUCUUACUGUAGGUUUCUUAUCUUGUGUCUGCAGGUGGUCGACGAUAUCACUUGUGCAAAGAAGAAACGACACAGAGACCCAUUUGCACUCGUUUGGUUUGACAUCACUAUCACUUAUGUUUGUUGCUCUUUUAUUUUGUAUCACUUUUGUUUGUUACCCUUUUGGCUCCGAAUGGAGAAAGCUUAUCGGGCGGAGCGGAUCAAGCGGAUCAAGCUGAACAAAAGCGGAUUAAGCAGAUCAAGCGGAUAUAGCAGUAUAACUGUGGAUCAAACGAAAUUAGCGGUCCAAAUAAAGAUUUGAAUGGUGAAAGCGGAUCAAUAUUGUAGAUCAUAUUAUAUAAUAUUUAAUUAUAAA
rnacentral:sRNA from 1 species